rnacentral:tRNA from 1 species
GGGGAGAUGGCCGAGCGGUCCAAGGCGCCACGUUAAGGCCGUGGUCUCGCAAGAGGCGUGGGUUCGAAUCCCACUCUCCUCA